GAUUUAGCGGCGGACGGGUGAGUAAUGCCUAGGAAUCUGCCUGGUAGUGGGGGAUAACGUUCCGAAAGGAACGCUAAUACCGCAUACGUCCUACGGGAGAAAGCAGGGGACCUUCGGGCCUUGCGCUAUCAGAUGAGCCUAGGUCGGAUUAGCUAGUUGGUGAGGUAAUGGCUCACCAAGGCGACGAUCCGUAACUGGUCUGAGAGGAUGAUCAGUCACACUGGAACUGAGACACGGUCCAGACUCCUACGGGAGGCAGCAGUGGGGAAUAUUGGACAAUGGGCGAAAGCCUGAUCCAGCCAUGCCGCGUGUGUGAAGAAGGUCUUCGGAUUGUAAAGCACUUUAAGUUGGGAGGAAGGGCAGUAAGUUAAUACCUUGCUGUUUUGACGUUACCGACAGAAUAAGCACCGGCUAACUUCGUGCCAGCAGCCGCGGUAAUACGAAGGGUGCAAGCGUUAAUCGGAAUUACUGGGCGUAAAGCGCGCGUAGGUGGUUCGUUAAGUUGGAUGUGAAAGCCCCGGGCUCAACCUGGGAACUGCAUCCAAAACUGGCGAGCUAGAGUACGGUAGAGGGUGGUGGAAUUUCCUGUGUAGCGGUGAAAUGCGUAGAUAUAGGAAGGAACACCAGUGGCGAAGGCGACCACCUUGGACUGAUACUGACACUGAGGUGCGAAAGC
rnacentral:rRNA from 1 species